CCCCUGGGGAAGGAAGGCAACACUGAGUCACGAGCAGCAGUGGGCGGGUCCCGUCACUGUGGAGUGCAGCGCUCCCCCACCCCAGGGCAGGCUUUGGGGACACUGCGUCUGCCCACCAUGUGAAAAACGGCAUUCACAACAUAAGAGAUGCCUUCGGAGAAUUUUUGUAACAACACAGACGCACUAAUCAUUCUAAGGACAUCCCAACCAUCACUGUUCACCUGACGCUAUCAUCGAGGUCUCAGCACUUCCACCCUUUCCUUCCACAUCAGCCCGCUUCCUGCUCUAACACAGAUGCCCUGCACGGGCAGAUGAGUGACAGGAGUGCGCACGGACACAGUACCUUCUCAAAUUUCACCCGAGACUCUCGUCCACAUUCCAGGGGGGUGGUGAGGGUAUUCAGAUCCUGACCCCAGAAGGCAAAAAACUUCUCAAUUCGGAGACUACGAAGAGCAUAAUACCCAGCAUUCCGGAUCCCGUAUUUCUGCCCCACACUCAUCACUUCAUUGUAGACAUGUAGGGCAUACUAGAGGGAAAGAUGAAAGGGUGGUAAGCAGCAGACCUUCAGAUUUCAACCUGGAAUGUGUCUGGCGUGCCUGAUGGCUGACACUAUUAAUUUGGAUAGGGAGAGGUUUGUAUAAAAUUCUCAGGAUGUCUCAUCAACAAACCAAAGUGCUACAGCCCAGGAGUAUGCCAGGGUUACCCCUAACUCAGACAUAAGCUCCAUGAAAGCAGCACCCAUGUCUUUUCAUGUCUCUAAAAUGUCUAGGAGACUAACAUAAGUACUUACUAGUAUAUAGCAAUUAUUAAAUUAAAUAACUCAUAGCAGCGCGCUCAGCACCCAGUAAUGACUAAGCUCAGCUGCUUCUCAAAUAGCCUGCGCACCCUCUGCUGGCUUUGUUCCCUGCCCGAUUCCCUAUGCACUGGCCCAUGCUACAAAACGUGGUACACAUCACUCUACCGUGUGCCCAUAACGUGAUUUUUCACACAGAUGACAGCAUAUCGUAGAGAUCCAGAGUGAGUCGCAGAGGAAGGAGUCAGGGAAGCAGAGCUCUCCUCCCUGCCCCACACCAUCAGCCUCCCACAAGGGAAACUAAAGCUGCACUGACCAACUGUUUUGCACCUAUCAGCCUAGAGUCUGGCACCUCCAUGUGUUGGCACACUCUUGCACACUGCCGAAUUUUUAUAAUAGUAAAGGAUUAGAAACACCAUAAAUGUCUAUUAGGACCAGGCUGGUUAAGUAAAUUGUGAUGGAAUAAUAUGCCACUAUAAAAAAAGAAAGGAA